GAGGACCGAACCGACUAAUGUUGAAAAAUUAGCGGAUGACUUGUGGCUGGGGGUGAAAGGCCAAUCAAACCGGGAGAUAGCUGGUUCUCCCCGAAAGCUAUUUAGGUAGCGCCUCGUGAAUUCAUCUUCGGGGGUAGAGCACUGUUUCGGCUAGGGGGUCAUCCCGACUUACCAACCCGAUGCAAACUACGAAUACCGAAGAAUGUUAUCACGGGAGACACACGGCGGGUGCUAACGUCCGUCGUGAAGAGGGAAACAACCCAGACCGCCAGCUAAGGUCCCAAAGUCAUGGUUAAGUGGGAAACGAUGUGGGAAGGCACAGACAGCCAGGAUGUUGGCUUAGAAGCAGCCAUCAUUUAAAGAAAGCGUAAUAGCUCACUGGUCGAGUCGGCCUGCGCGGAAGAUGUAACGGGGCUAAACCAUGCACCGAAGCUGCGGCAGCGACACUAUGUGUUGUUGGGUAGGGGAGCGUUCUGUAAGCCUGCGAAGGUGGCCUGUGAGGGCUGCUGGAGGUAUCAGAAGUGCGAAUGCUGACAUAAGUAACGAUAAAGCGGGUGAAAAGCCCGCUCGCCGGAAGACCAAGGGUUCCUGUCCAACGUUAAUCGGGGCAGGGUGAGUCGACCCCUAAGGCGAGGCCGAAAGGCGUAGUCGAUGGGAAACAGGUUAAUAUUCCUGUACUUGGUGUUACUGCGAAGGGGGGACGGAGAAGGCUAUGUUAGCCGGGCGACGGUUGUCCCGGUUUAAGCAUGUAGGCGGAGGUUCCAGGUAAAUCCGGUACCUUUUAACGCUGAGGUGUGAUGACGAGGCACUACGGUGCUGAAGUAACAAAUGCCCUGCUUCCAGGAAAAGCCUCUAAGCAUCAGGUAACAUUAAAUCGUACCCCAAACCGACACAGGUGGUCAGGUAGAGAAUACCAAGGCGCUUGAGAGAACUCGGGUGAAGGAACUAGGCAAAAUGGUGCCGUAACUUCGGGAGAAGGCACGCUGGUGUGUAGGUGAAGUCCCUGCGGACGGAGCUGAGACCAGUCGAAGAUACCAGCUGGCUGCAACUGUUUAUUAAAAACACAGCACUGUGCAAACACGAAAGUGGACGUAUACGGUGUGACGCCUGCCCGGUGCCGGAAGGUUAAUUGAUGGGGUUAUCCGUAAGGAGAAGCUCUUGAUCGAAGCCCCGGUAAACGGCGGCCGUAACUAUAACGGUCCUAAGGUAGCGAAAUUCCUUGUCGGGUAAGUUCCGACCUGCACGAAUGGCGUAAUGAUGGCCAGGCUGUCUCCACCC
rnacentral:rRNA from 2 species